rnacentral:tRNA from 1 species
AUUUUUGUAGUUGAAUUACAACAUUGAUUUUUCAGGUCAAAGGUUUUGGUUAAGUCCGGGUAAAAAUU